rnacentral:rRNA from 1 species
AGUGAACGCUGGCGGUAGGCCUAACACAUGCAAGUCGAACGGCAGCACAGUAAGAGCUUGCUCUUACGGGUGGCGAGUGGCGGACGGGUGAGGAAUACAUCGGAAUCUACUUUUUCGUGGGGGAUAACGUAGGGAAACUUACGCUAAUACCGCAUACGACCUACGGGUGAAAGCAGGGGAUCUUCGGACCUUGCGCGAUUGAAUGAGCCGAUGUCGGAUUAGCUAGUUGGCGGGGUAAAGGCCCACCAAGGCGACGAUCCGUAGCUGGUCUGAGAGGAUGAUCAGCCACACUGGAACUGAGACACGGUCCAGACUCCUAAGGGAGGCAGCAGUUGGGAAUAUUGGACAAUGGGCGCAAGCCUGAUCCAGCCAUACCGCGUGGGUGAAGAAGGCCUUCGGGUUGUAAAGCCCUUUUGUUGGGAAAGAAAAGCAGCAGGUUAAUACCCCGCUGUUCUGACGGUACCCAAAGAAUAAGCACCGGCUAACUUCGUG